CAGUCUCAGGCCAAGAACCCGGCAACUCUACUCUGCAUAGCCAGAGACUGCUGAUUCCUGCUGUACAGACAACCGGAGGGCUGAACAUGGGCUGCAGAGGAUGCCAUGUAGCUUAUCAGAGUAGGCUGGUGGGAAUCUGUUGAUGGACGGGGAUUUGUGAACUUCAAAUGUUUAGAUGAAUUAUCAGAAAGAGGUACAUUGUUUAGAUGUCAAGCAAUGCAACAACAAAGAUUGUGCUGUUUGCUCUGUGGCAAGCUAUGUUCCCUCUAGUGGAUACUUCAUGGAGAUAUAUAUACUGCAAGGAGGGUCAUUGUGCAAUGCCACUGAAGAUAAAAUGGAGAAGCCCAUCUAUACAAGCAGCAAAUAUGGAUAUACCACAGGAGCCACUGAAGUUUAGUGCAGUAAGCCUAUGGCUCCAACCAUCUAUGCAACUUAUUUCUGAGUAAACCUGCAUCAAAUCUCAUAGUAAGCCUGGGUACUGGAACCAGUAGUACAGUACACACCAAGACCUAAUUCCUUUAUACAUUCCACAAAUGAGACCUGGUAUUCAAAAUACAUUGUGGGCUUGGUUCAAAUUAAGCCCUUCAUCAUGUCUACUUUUCCUAUUCCUUUAUCUCUCACAGGUAUUAAAGUCUAAUAUUAAA